AUUGAACGCUGGCGGACGGCCUAACACAUGCAAGUCGAACGAGUGGCGGACGGGUGAGUAAUGUCUGGGAAACCGCCCGCUGGAGGGGGAUAACUACUGGAAACGGUAGCUAAUACCGCAUACCAUCGGAUGUGCCCAGGUUGGAUUAGCUAGUCGGGGGGGUAACGGCUCACCUAGGCGACGAUCCCUAGCUGGUCUGAGAGGAUGACCAGCCACACUGGAAUGGUGACACGGUCCAGCCUCCUACGGUAGGCAGCAGUGGGGAAUAUUGCACAAUGGGCGCAAGCGUGAUGCAGCCAUGCCGCGUGUAUGAAGAAGGCCUUCGGGUUGUAAAGUACUUUCAGCGAGGAGGCGUUACUCGCAGAAGAAGCAUCGGCUAACUCCGUGCCAGCAGCCGCGGUAAUUC
rnacentral:rRNA from 1 species